CAGCCGCCGCGGGAAAACGUAGGGUGCAAGCGUUAAUCGGAAUUACUGGGCGUAAAGCGUGCGCAGGCGGUUCUAUAAGACAGAUGUGAAAUCCCCGGGCUCAACCUGGGAACUGCAUUUGUGACUGUAUAGCUAGAGUACGGCAGAGGGGGGUGGAAUUCCGCGUGUAGCAGUGAAAUGCGUAGAUAUGCGGAGGAACACCGAUGGCGAAGGCAAUCCCCUGGGCCUGUACUGACGCUCAUGCACGAAAGCGUGGGGAGCAAACAGGAUUAGAGACCCCAGUAGUCCCUGUCUCUUAUAC
rnacentral:rRNA from 1 species